AUUGAACGCUGGCGGCAUGCCUUACACAUGCAAGUCGAACGGUAACAGGUUAAGCUGACGAGUGGCGAACGGGUGAGUAAUACAUCGGAACGUGCCCAGUAGUGGGGGAUAGCCCGGCGAAAGCCGGAUUAAUACCGCAUACGACCUAAGGGUGAAAGGGGGGGAUCGCAAGACCUCUCGCUAUUGGAGCGGCCGAUGUCAGAUUAGCUAGUUGGUGGGGUAAAAGCUCACCAAGGCGACGAUCUGUAGCUGGUCUGAGAGGACGACCAGCCACACUGGGACUGAGACACGGCCCAGACUCCUACGGGAGGCAGCAGUGGGGAAUUUUGGACAAUGGGCGCAAGCCUGAUCCAGCCAUGCCGCGUGCGGGAAGAAGGCCUUCGGGUUGUAAACCGCUUUUGUCAGGGAAGAAAUCCUUUGGGUUAAUACCUCGGGGGAUGACGGUACCUGAAGAAUAAGCACCGGCUAACUACGUG
rnacentral:rRNA from 1 species